rnacentral:rRNA from 1 species
UCCAGACUCCUACGGGAGGCAGCAGUGGGGAAUAUUGGGCAAUGGAGGCAACUCUGACCCAGCAACGCCGCGUGAAUGAUGAAGGUCUUCGGAUUGUAAAGUUCUUUUCUAAGGGAAGAAGAAAGUGACGGUACCUUAGGAAUAAGCCUCAGCUAACUACGUGCCAGCAGCCGCGGUAAUACGUAGGGGGCAAGCGUUAUCCGGAUUUACUGGGUGUAAAGGGGGCGCAGACGGCAAUGCAAGCCAGGAGUGAAAGCCCGGGGCCCAACCCCGGGACUGCUCUUGGAACUGCAUGGCUGGAGUACAGGAGGGGCAGGCGGAAUUCCUAGUGUAGCGGUGAAAUGCGUAGAUAUUAGGAGGAACACCGGUGGCGAAGGCGGCCUGCUGGACUGUGACUGACGUUGAGGCCCGAAGGCGUGGGGAGCAAACAGGAUUAGAUACCCUAGUA